rnacentral:rRNA from 1 species
GAUGAACGCUGGCGGCGUGCCUAAUACAUGCAAGUCGAGCGAACAGACGAGGAGCUUGCUCCUCUGACGUUAGCGGCGGACGGGUGAGUAACGCGUGGAUAACCUACCUAUAAGACUGGGAUAACUUCGGGAAACCGGAGCUAAUACCGGAUAAUAUAUUGAACCGCAUGGUUCAAUAGUGAAAGACGGUUUUGCUGUCACUUAUAGAUGGAUCCGCGCCGCAUUAGCUAGUUGGUAAGGUAACGGCUUACCAAGGCAACGAUGCGUAGCCGACCUGAGAGGGUGAUCGGCCACACUGGAACUGAGACACGGUCCAGACUCCUACGGGAGGCAGCAGUAGGGAAUCUUCCGCAAUGGGCGAAAGCCUGACGGAGCAACGCCGCGUGAGUGAUGAAGGUCUUCGGAUCAUAAAACUCUGUUAUUAGGGAAGAACAAAUGUGUAAGUAACUAUGCACGUCUUGACGGUACCUAAUCAGAAAGCCACGGCUAACUACGUG